rnacentral:rRNA from 1 species
GACGGGUUAGUAACGCGUGGGAACGUGCCCUUCUCUGCGGAAUAGCCACUGGAAACGGUGAGUAAUACCGCAUACGCCCUUCGGGGGAAAGAUUUAUCGGAGAAGGAUCGGCCCGCGUUAGAUUAGAUAGUUGGUGGGGUAAUGGCCUACCAAGUCUACGAUCUAUAGCUGGUUUUAGAGGAUGAUCAGCAACACUGGGACUGAGACACGGCCCAGACUCCUACGGGAGGCAGCAGUGGGGAAUCUUAGACAAUGGGCGCAAGCCUGAUCUAGCCAUGCCGCGUGUGUGAUGAAGGUCUUAGGAUCGUAAAGCACUUUCGCCAGGGAUGAUAAUGACAGUACCUGGUAAAGAAACCCCGGCUAACUCCGUGCCAGCAGCCGCGGUAAUACGGAGGGGGUUAGCGUUGUUCGGAAUUACUGGGCGUAAAGCGCGCGUAGGCGGAUUGGAAAGUUGGGGGUGAAAUCCCGGGGCUCAACCCCGGAACUGCCUCCAAAACUAUCAGUCUAGAGUUCGAGAGAGGUGAGUGGAAUUCCAAGUGUAGAGGUGAAAUUCGUAGAUAUUUGGAGGAACACCAGUGGCGAAGGCGGCUCACUGGCUCGAUACUGACGCUGAGGUGCGAAAGUGUGGGGGAGCAAACAGGAUUAGAUACCCUGGUAGUCCACACCGUAAACGAUGAAUGCCAGUCGUCGGGCAGUAUACUG